AUAAAUAUAUAUAUAUAUAUAUAUAUACAUAUGAUGAAUAUAUAUAUAUAUAUAUAUAUAAAAUCACUAACCUGACAUGAACUCCAUCAGAUAUAUGCUGAACUAAAUCUCCAAUAAUCUCGUGUUU